CGUAGGUGGCGAGCGUUAUCCGGAAUUAUUGGGCGUAAAGAGCGCGCAGGUGGUUGAUUAAGUCUGAUGUGAAAGCCCACGGCUUAACCGUGGAGGGUCAUUGGAAACUGGUCAACUUGAGUGCAGAAGAGGGAAGUGGAAUUCCAUGUGUAGCGGUGAAAUGCGUAGAGAUAUGGAGGAACACCAGUGGCGAAGGCGGCUUCCUGGUCUGUAACUGACACUGAGGCGCGAAAGCGUGGGGAGCAAACAGGAUU
rnacentral:rRNA from 1 species